rnacentral:rRNA from 1 species
GACGAACGCUGGCGGCGUGCUUAACACAUGCAAGUCGAACGGAAAGACCCUGCUUUUGUGGGGUGCUCGAGUGGCGAACGGGUGAGUAACACGUGAGUAACCUGCCCUUGACUUUGGGAUAACUUCAGGAAACUGGGGCUAAUACCGGAUAGGAGCUCCUGCUGCAUGGUGGGGGUUGGAAAGUUUCGGCGGUUGGGGAUGGACUCGCGGCUUAUCAGCUUGUUGGUGGGGUAGUGGCUUACCAAGGCUUUGACGGGUAGCCGGCCUGAGAGGGUGACCGGCCACAUUGGGACUGAGAUACGGCCCAGACUCCUACGGGAGGCAGCAGUGGGGAAUAUUGCACAAUGGGCGGAAGCCUGAUGCAGCAACGCCGCGUGCGGGAUGACGGCCUACGGGUUGUAAACCGCUUUCGCCUGUGACGAAGCGUGAGUGACGGUAAUGGGUAAAGAAGCACCGGCUAACUACGUG